GUGGCGCGGGGGCUCAGAGAAGGCGGAGGGGGCGGUGAGGCCCGAACGCGGGAAAGGCGGAGACCCCGCCUCCCCGGGGCGGAGGGAGAGUUGGGCUCGUUGCUCCAGCCUCCGCCCGCGGCCUCGGGGAACGGCGGGCCCAGGCCGGAGGAGCUUUCGGUGGCGCGACCCCGCUGGCAUGCUCCCGGCCUCGGCCUCGGCCUCCGGGCCUCCAGCGCACGCGGGGCGUCCAGGGCUUCAUCUUCCCCUGGGGACCGCCCGGCAGUGUCCCGCUGCCCUCGGCGCAGGGGUGGGAGUUGCAGAGACGAAGAGUCGCUAACCCGGAGUGUUUCUUAAAACUUGGCUGACCUGUGACCUGCGGAUUUGGAGGCUGAAUUCUCCGAGCACCUGAAGCUACUGCAGGAUAUAAUCUAAGAAAAUAAGGGGAAGAAAACAAGAAAGAGGAAGACAUUGGAUCCAAGAAAUGGGGGAUCUAUCACCUUACAGAUGAAAAGAGAAUCUACAUGAUCUUUGUGAAGGUGAUUUGAGCAUAGCAGCUCUGCAGGAAACCUGGAGAGCAACAAGUGAGAUUAAUACAGGACACACAGCUCUAGUAAGGAUGUCACUAAGGAAAUUAAAAUCAUUUGUUGUAGAAUACUUUAUGAAUCAAUGCAGUAAGAGGAGG
rnacentral:lncRNA from 1 species